GAGGUGCGGCGCCCCAGACAAGCCACGGCCAGGCGUGGGGCCUCCCGAGCAGAGGGCGCGGCCCCGGCAACGCGGGACUUCAGCACGGUGACCUCAGUUUUGGAUUUCCGGCUUCCAGAAUUGUGAGGCGAUCCGUUCCUGUCGCGUUAUGCCACCAAGUAGGAGGGUCGGACCAAACAAGUACCCACGAGACACUGAAAGACAAAGUCGGAGGCAGAGGAGACACACACUCGUGAGCUUUGAUGGGGACGUGAGGCUGAUGCUACAGCGCCACGAUCCCUCCACCGGAGGAGAGACGAGUCGCCAGCUGGCCUGACUCGGUACCCUAGCGCCAGGCCAGGCAUGAUGUUGGCGGAUUGGUUGAAUUAUUUGUAUAUUUUGGGGACAUUUAGCAUAUUGUGGAGGUUCUCAGAAGCAGCAGAGACACCUGUGAAACAUUGAGACAUCGCCUAGACCCCAGUCGGACUCUGUCGGAGACAACUGACCAUUGGUAUUUACAAGAAACUAAAUUGGCCACGAAAAUAUCCCUGUUUUGUUCCAUAUCUCAGCUUAAGACGCCUGAUGUCUACCCCAGCUAGACCUAGGGGAAGUGGAUCGCUGUUUCUCUCCGCAGGGAACAAAUAGUACUUACGAUAGGUAUCUCUGGUUUAAUUGGCCUGGAUUCCUAUCCAUGUGGCAGAAAAAAGAAGUUGGAGAUUAUUUUUUAAGCCAUGGUGAGAGACAAGGCAACAUCAUUUGUGUAGAGCUGAACUGCCUAAAUUUAAGCGGCAAAGUGUACCAGUAGGAUCAGAUCUAAAAAAAAACUGGAAAGAUAUAGAUCCCAAAAAGCUUUUGCUCUUGAUUUUUUUCUUUUUUUUUCCUUCCUUUCAAAAGCCUCAGACCAAGGAACAGGGCCUUGAGUUCUCGGGAUGAAUCUGAGACUCCUGGGCUGUAGGACGGCCGGUCACCUCCAAGGUAACUAGGCCUGGGAGCCCACAGGGGCAAAGAAGCAGGUUGUCACCUCUGAGUCGGUGGGUUGUUUUACAGACUAAAACUGCAUAACAUAACCCAGUUUUUCUGACCUCAGAAAAAAAUAGGUUGUCUCAUUCAGUAUAAUUCUUUUUCUCUGAUUCAAGUAAGUUUAAAAGGACAAAUUGUUGGUUAAUAUCCUUUUCCUGAAUAGAGUAUUUGCUUUAAGGAUGAUCAACAUUAAGUGUUGGUAGAAACAAAAGCACUCAGGGUUUAUUUUCGGGCUCAUCAUAUUAAAACAGAUUUGUUUUUAUUUUUAAGAGAGGAACUUUUAUGUGGCAUAUGUACUCAGAAUUUUAAUGUCUACUAAUUUUCACAGUUAUCUGAAACCCAUGCACAAGGCAGUAACAUUUAUUAACUGGUAAACGGCACUUCUGUAACUUGUGGAUGUUUUGCAAACUGCUCUGUUUGCGGAAGGAUGGGCUUUCGGGUCCCCAGGAAUCAUCAUCCAAAUGAUCUUUCUCAUCAUGGCUUCUGAGGAAUGAAACUCAUCUUAAAUUGAGGGGAUUCAUCACAAGGUGUCGCCACAGCAGAUGGUGGGCCGGGCACCAAGGUGCCUUGCUGGCGGCCUGUCGGGGAGGCUCCAGGAAGUCAGGGUCCGCCGCCGGGAGAGGACGCGCAGGCAGCCGGCCUGCAGGACGCUCUGCGGCCGCGGCUCCUGCGCCCUGGGCCGCGGUGUGAAGACCGCGUCCCGCCUCUGGUCCGGGUGAGUCCACGAAGCCGGCAGACCCCGCGG